rnacentral:lncRNA from 9 species
AGUUUAUUCAGAGCUUCUGCUGCAUCAAAUUCAUUAACAUCCCAUUAACCAAAGCAAGUCACAUGGCUCAACUCAAAGUUAGCAGGAUGAGGAUGGAGAUUCCUGUACUAUUCUGGGAGGCCUGCAGAGUUAUGACAGAACAGAUUUAGAUGGAAUGCUAUUACAGAGAGGAGGUUGAAAAAUAGAACGAUAAUCUAUUUUGCCACAAUUGUAAAAUAAUGAAAUAUUUUCAUUGAAUAAUGAAAGCAACAAUGGUGACAGUAAUGAUAAUGACAGUACAGGCAAGUUUUCUUUCCCCUAGUUUUUAACAUUUAGCUAUAUUUACCCUGAGAUUUUUAUCCUUAAUGUUAAUGACCUAAUACAUUGGUCUUAUGGGAAUGCUUUAUUUUAUCCCAUGAAUAAUUAAAGAACAUUUGGGGGAAGAAAGAACUUUCUCCCAAGCAAAAAGAGAAGUGCUUAGGAACUGAUGUGGCACUGUCAAAGGACAUAGGACCUUGAGAGCACUUUGAGGAUAUGACUUUCAACCUAACACCUUGCCUGGCUUCAAUCUUAUUCUUGAGUAUUAGGGAAAGGAGACUGUGAUGUCAAACAUAUACAUUUAGAAUGUCCUUAAAAAAUAAAAAUAAAAACAGGAGACUAGAGUACUUUGUUGCUUAGGUAAAAGGAGUACGUCAUAUCUUGGAUGAAGAUUUCUUGUUCCCACUUUGCAGGCCUCCCCAAAGCCCAGCAGAUUGAGAAUGAAACAAGAACAUUCACUAUGUGAGCUAGAAACAGGAGAGGAUAUUCUGGCUCAUCAAGCAUGGAUAGCAGCAGGAAAUCUCCAGUUUUGGUCUGUGGGGACUUGGUGAGACAGACCAAAGUAGGAGGAAAAUGGUAGACCCAUGGCACAAAAUUGAGUGUCGUCUUAUGCUGAAGAUGUGAUGAACAAAAAAAGGAAAGAAGAAAAGAAGGGAACACAGAUAGCAAGCAGCAAGUGAAUGGAAUACUGCACAUCUACCUAGCCAGCAAGGGGCGCUCUCAGGAGCCUAUACCAGGACCCCUGAGUCCCAGCCUGCAGUGUCACAUACUGCCCCACUCCGCUGCCAACGUUACUGCUGCAGUAAUCCUUUACCCUCUUCCUCCUGUCUCUGUUAUCCACUCACCUUACUUCUAUUCAUUCAAGUUCAUAAGCCUGCAUUUUGGUGUUUCAUGUUUGAGAAUAUAUUCAUCAAACUUCAAGGGUUUUGGCUAGACUUCAGAUAACAGGUAAGCAUCCAUCACAGAAAGCAAGAGCUCCUCAGCAACAGACUUAAUUACUAAACUAGCAAAAUAUGCUCAUUAUCCUGCCAUAUUGAGAAUCAAGUGAGACGAUUCACCACAGAAUCAGCAUCAGUCUCCACAUAAGUUUUGCUGAGAUAACAUCUUUAGCAGUUGUUUUUUGAAACUUAGUGGCUUUAAACAUGCACCCAUAAGACCUGCUGGGAAAAUAGCUCAGAAAAUGUGAAAAUCCAUGUUCUCAUAUAUACUUAUCCUGCCAAAGUCUUCAGGACUUGUGUAAUCAUGACAUUUACUUUUUUUUUUUUUUUGUCUUUACAGGGCUGCACCCAUGGCAUAUGGAAGUUCCCAGGCUAGGGGUCUAAUCGGAGCUGUUGCUGUCGG